UCCUUGCCCCCAGUGGAGGCGGUAAGAUCCGUGCUUUCAAGGAUUUGGGCACCAAGAACCCCGUCUUAUACCUCGGUUUCCCUCAGUUUUCAGGGUCGGAGGAAGUUAUUUGGGACUAUUGUGUCCCUAGUGGUGGGAAGAGUGUCAUUGCUGUGAUAAUAUGAUCAGCGCCUUUCUACAGUCUGUUUUCCGCAUUGAUUGUUAAGUUGCUCUUUCAAAUAUAUUUGGGGUCGUGGAAAAAUGCAUAUCUUACACCGUUUUGUUCAUAGGCUUGGUUGAUUAGCAGUGCACAACUCUAAACUAUGAUAUAAAUUUGAAGACAGGUUAUUUUGAUGCAAUCUUUUGAAUUCUUUUCUAUUCUCUUUUGAGUAUUAUUAAGAGUGAAUAGUUGUACGUCUGAAUAAAUUAUAUUUGCUACUUGUUUUUAACUGGUAACUGAUAGAGAAUGAGGCAAAACAACUGCAAAGCUGAUAUUUCGUGAAAACUUGUACUCUGAAAGUUGCAUCUCAUAAGGCAAAACAACUACGUGAAAUUCAUUCUUGUAUCUUUUAGCAUGUCUUCAUUGUCUUCAUACUAAUUACCUUAUGCUCCCAACUCUUCUCUCUUUGUUUGUUUUAAUACUUUGUGUACAUGAUUUUCAAAGCUAUUGUUUCAUACAACUUCCACCUAGAAUCUUCUUCUCGUUCUUCUUACAGAGUGUGGUACCCUUUCCAACGAAUCCACAUCUUUCAUUUUGUUUGUCUGUGGUCGUGCUUGUUAUAUGAAACUGAGCUUCUCAAAGCAUUUUUUACACAUAGAUAUCAGCAUUAGAUUUUCAUGUCCCAGAUCGUAUUUUCCGAUGCUUGGUGGAUUGGGACACAAGCUGAGAACCCUGAAGAAGCCCAACUUGAUUUCCCUAAGGAACUUACUGAGGGACAACACGCAUAAUAUGACUUUAAAGGUGGUGCAGGUUCAACAUCUGCAAACAAGCAAAGUGAUCAUAAAAUGAAACUAAAUAUGUAGAAGAACAUUCCCCAAAUGUUAAGGUUGAAGAUAACGUAUCAGAUGAUGGAAACAAAAAUUUGAUGAGAGCAACACCUGUUCGACAUCGAGCAAGAACUGCCGGAAAAUGAUUCAAGUAGUUACAUUUUUGCUGCAUUACCAUAUUUGCCUUUUCACACCUGUCUGAUAUACCUAUGAGUAAGAUAUUUUUUACAUUUGUGCUGCAUUACCAUUUUUGCCUUUUCAGACCUGUCUGAUAUACCUAUGAGUAAGUAGUUUCAUCCAAAAAAAAAAGGGAAAAAAAUGGAUGAAACAUAUUGCAAAUAGUUACAAGUGGCACUGAUGCCUAAUGUCCAUUCUGAACUCACUUAUCGAAGACAUGAAUGCACUCAUUGCUUUUCAGCAGAUGAGUUGUGGAAUGUCGUGUAGCUUCUACGGAUAUCACUAGUGCUAAGAAUGGAUAUAUAACUAAAUACCUCUAUUAAGUAUGUAAACUAUUAGACGAUGAUGUCCAUGAUAUGCUUCUACGGAUAUCACUAGUGCUAAGAAUGGAUAUAUAACUAAAUACCUCUAUUAAGUAUGUAAAUUAUUAGACGAUGAUGUCCAUGAUAUGUUUUGGUACCUUUAGUUAGAUUAUCAUAGAUAAUUAACCACUUUGAUAUAUUUUCUUUUUGCUGAAGAAUAAUAAUAGAAACGCCAGAAGGCACACACUUUCCUGUGAUGUUGUCCGCACAUGCUUUAGUGAACUCUCGUUUUGUCACCGAUUAGUUGUAGAUGAUGUAUCAUGCUUAACUUUCCAUUUAUCUCUAACAUUUUUGGUGGUUCAGUUUUGGAAUGCUUCUUCUGGAGAUGAUUCUUUUGGAAGCGAUACUCACUUAAGUGAAGGAGAAUAUGAAAAUUUUGGGGGACUUGAUUAUGGGUGUAUUCACAUUUCUCUCAUUCUCUCUCAUCACAUUGAUGAUUUGAUAUCAAACUCCACACAUUUGACGGCUUUGAAUACAAAAUAACCUCCAUGUUAUAUUUCUCCAUUUUAAUUUGCACUAUGGUCGAUUAAUUCUCAAAAUCCGCCUUGACUCCGCAUGUGAGAAGCCAUUCGACCUUACCGACCUAUUACAUCUUAGCAUACGUGCAAAAAAAUUAUUCUUCAAUGAGUUAUUUCUAGAUGUUGAAUUGUAAUUUGCAGGUUAUAAGG